rnacentral:rRNA from 1 species
AUUGAACGCUGGCGGCAGGCUUAACACAUGCAAGUCGAGCGGUAACAGAGAGAAGCUUGCUUCUCUGCUGACGAGCGGCGGACGGGUGAGUAAUGCCUAGGAAUCUGCCUAGUAGUGGGGGAUAACUUGCCGAAAGGUAAGCUAAUACCGCAUACGUCCUACGGGAGAAAGGAGGGGACCUUCGGGCCUUUCGCUAUUAGAUGAGCCUAGGUCGGAUUAGUUAGUUGGUGAGGUAAUGGCUCACCAAGGCCGCGAUCCGUAACUGGUCUGAGAGGAUGAUCAGUCACACUGGAACUGAGACACGGUCCAGACUCCUACGGGAGGCAGCAGUGGGGAAUAUUGGACAAUGGGGGGAACCCUGAUCCAGCCAUGCCGCGUGUGUGAAGAAGGUCUUAGGAUUGUAAAGCACUUUAAGUUGGGAGGAAGAGCAGUUAACUAAUAUUUGACUGUUUUGACGUUACCGACAGAAUAAGCACCGGCUAACUUCGUGCCAGCCGCCGCGGUAA